AAUCCUGUAGGGUGUGCCAAUUUUAAUGGUCAAGACAACACGAGUAAGUUAUCUUAGAUACGCGUUAAGAGAUAAAC
rnacentral:tRNA from 1 species